rnacentral:rRNA from 1 species
ACAGCAGUCGCCGCGGGAAAACGUAGGUGGCAAGCGUUGUCCGGAAUUAUUGGGCGUAAAGCGCGCGCAGGCGGAUAGGUCAGUCUGUCUUAAAAGUUCGGGGCUUAAUCCCGUGAUGGGAUGGAAACUGCCAAUCUAGAGUAUCGGAGAGGAAAGUGGAAUCCCUAGUGUAGCGGUGAAAUGCGUAGAUAUUAGGAAGAACACCAGUGGCGAAGGCGACUUUCUGGACGAAAACUGACGCUGAGGCGCGAAAGCCAGGGGAGCGAACGGGAUUAGAUACCCCUGUAGUCCCUGUCUCUUAUACA